rnacentral:tRNA from 1 species
GGGCAGGUUCCGGAGCGGUCAAACGGGGCAGACUGUAAAUCUGCUGGCUUACGCCUUCCAUGGUUCGAAUCCAUGCCUGCCCACCA